AAAUUGAAGAGUUUGAUCAUGGCUCAGAUUGAACGCUGGCGGCAGGCCUAACACAUGCAAGUCGAACGGUAACAGGAAGCAGCUUGCUGCUUYGCUGACGAGUGGCGGACGGGUGAGUAAUGUCUGGGAAACUGCCUGAUGGAGGGGGAUAACUACUGGAAACGGUAGCUAAUACCGCAUAACGUCGCAAGACCAAAGAGGGGGACCUUCGGGCCUCUUGCCAUCGGAUGUGCCCAGAUGGGAUUAGCUWGUWGGUGGGGUAACGGCUCACCWAGGCGACGAUCCCUAGCUGGUCUGAGAGGAUAACCAGCCACACUGGAACUGAGACACGGUCCAGACUCCUACGGGAGGCAGCAGUGGGGAAUAUUGCACAAUGGGCGCAAGCCUGAUGCAGCCAUGCCGCGUGUAUGAAGAAGGCCUUCGGGUUGUAAA
rnacentral:rRNA from 1 species